UAAUUGAAGAGUUUGAUCAUGGCUCAGAUUGAACGCUGGCGGCAGGCCUAACACAUGCAAGUCGAACGGUAGCAGGAUGUGCUUGCACAUCGCUGACGAGUGGCGGACGGGUGAGUAAUGCUUGGGAACUUGCCUUUGCGAGGGGGAUAACAGUUGGAAACGACUGCUAAUACCGCAUAAUGUCUACGGACCAAACGGGGCUUCGGCUCCGGCGCAAAGAGAGGCCCAAGUGAGAUUAGCUAGUUGGUGAGGUAAAGGCUCACCAA
rnacentral:ncRNA from 1 species